GCUGGGCGUGGUGGCGUGUGCCUGUAAUCCCAGUUACUUGGGAGGCUGAGGCAGGGGAAUUACUUGAACCCAGGAGGUAGAGGUUGCAGUGAGCUGAGAUUGUGCCACUACACCCCAACCUGGGUGACAGAGUGAGACUCUGUCUCAA
rnacentral:sRNA from 1 species